rnacentral:rRNA from 1 species
UACGAAGGGGGCUAGCGUUGCUCGGAAUUACUGGGCGUAAAGCGCGCGUAGGUGGUUUGUUAAGUUGAAUGUGAAAUCCCCGGGCUCAACCUGGGAACUGCAUCCAAAACUGGCAAGCUAGAGUAUGGUAGAGGGUGGUGGAAUUUCCUGUGUAGCGGUGAAAUGCGUAGAUAUAGGAAGGAACACCAGUGGCGAAGGCGGCUCACUGGCCCGAUACUGACGCUGAGGUGCGAAAGCGUGGGGAGCAAACAGG